rnacentral:rRNA from 1 species
CCUACGGGUGGCAGCAGUGAGGAAUAUUGGUCAAUGGACGAAAGCCUGAACCAGCCAAGCAGCGUGAAGGAUGACUGCCCUCUGGGUUGUAAACUUCUUUUAUAAAGGAAUAAAACGAGGCACGUGUGCCUUUUUGCAUGUACUUUAUGAAUAAGGAACGGCUAACGCCGUGCCAGCAGCCGCGGUAAUACGGAGGAUCCGAGCGUUAUCCGGAUUUAGUGGGUUUAAAGGGAGCGUAGAUGGGUUGUUAAGUCAGUUGUGAAAGUUUGCGGCUCAACCGUAAAAUUGCAAUUGAUACUGGCAGUCUUGAGUACAGUUGAGGUAGGCGGAAUUCGUGGUGUAGCGGUGAAACGCUUAGAUAUCACGAAGAACACCGAUUGCGAAGGCAGCUUCCUAGACUGUGACUGACAUUGAUGCUCGAAAGUGUGGGUAGCAAACAGGAUUAGAUACCCCAGUAGUC